CCUACGGGUGGCAGCAGUGAGGAAUAUUGGUCAAUGGACGAGAGUCUGAACCAGCCAAGUAGCGUGAAGGAUGACUGCCCUAUGGGUUGUAAACUUCUUUUAUAUGGGAAUAAAAUGUUCCACGUGUGGGAUUUUGUAUGUACCAUAUGAAUAAGGAUCGGCUAACUCCGUGCCAGCAGCCGCGGUAAUACGGAGGAUCCGAGCGUUAUCCGGAUUUAUUGGGUUUAAAGGGAGCGUAGGUGGAUUGUUAAGUCAGUUGUGAAAGUUUGCGGCUCAACCGUAAAAUUGCAGUUGAAACUGGCAGUCUUGAGUACAGUAGAGGUGGGCGGAAUUCGUGGUGUAGCGGUGAAAUGCUUAGAUACCACGAAGAACUCCGAUUGCGAAGGCAGUUCACUGGACUGCAACUGACACUGAGGCUCGAAAGUGUGGGUAUCAAACAGGAUUAGAUACCCGAGUAGUC
rnacentral:rRNA from 1 species